rnacentral:rRNA from 1 species
GACGAACGCUGGCGGCGUGCUUAACACAUGCAAGUCGAACGGAAAGGCCCUGCUUUUGUGGGGUGCUCGAGUGGCGAACGGGUGAGUAACACGUGAGUAACCUGCCCUUGACUUUGGGAUAACUUCAGGAAACUGGGGCUAAUACCGGAUAGGAGCUCCUGCUGCAUGGUGGGGGUUGGAAAGUUUCGGCGGUUGGGGAUGGACUCGCGGCUUAUCAGCUUGUUGGUGGGGUAGUGGCUUACCAAGGCUUUGACGGGUAGCCGGCCUGAGAGGGUGACCGGCCACAGUGGGACUGAGGUACGGCCCAGACUACUACGGGAGGCAGCAGUGGGGAAUGGUGCAAAAUGGGAGGAAGCCUGAUGCAGCAACGCCGCGUGCGGGAUGACGGCCUUCGGGUUGUAAACCGCUUUCGCCUGUGACGAAGCGUGAGUGACGGUAAUGGGUAAAGAAGCACCGGCUAACUACGUG